rnacentral:rRNA from 1 species
CCUACGGGCGGCAGCAGUAGGGAAUUUUGCGCAAUGGGGGAAACCCUGACGCAGCAACGCCGCGUGAUCGAAGAAGCCCUUCGGGGUGUAAAGAUCUGUCAGCGGGGACGAAACCUGACGGUACCCACCUAGGAAGCACCGGCUAACUCCGUGCCAGCAGCCGCGGUAAUACGGGGGGGGCAAGCGUUGUCCGGGUUCAUUGGGCGUAAAGAGGUCGUAGGUGGCACGGCAAGUCUGGUGUUAAAGGCGGAAGCUCAACUUACGUAGGGCACUGGAUACUGGCGGGCUUGAGUGCGGGAGAGGCAAAGGGAAUUCCUGGUGUAGCGGUGAAAUGCGUAGAUAUCAGGAGGAACAUCGGUGGCGAAGGCGCAUUGCUGGGCCGUAAUUGACGCUGAGGAACGAAAGCCGGGGUAGCAAAUGGGAUUAGAUACCCUUGUAGUC